rnacentral:tRNA from 1 species
GGGGAUUUAGCUCAGUGGCACAGCAUUUGCCUGGCAAGCAAGUCCUGGAUUCAACUUCCAGUCCCCU